UCCCUAGUGGUCCAAUGGUUAGGAUUCUUGCUUUCACUGCUGAGGGCACAGGUUCAAUUCCUGGUUAGGGAG
rnacentral:tRNA from 1 species